UAAGAAACGUUUCACAGAUUAAAGAUGUUAAUAUUGAUUCAUUGUGUCUCACGAUUUGUCUUAAAAAAUGUCUCGCAGAUUAAUACUUAAUCCGAUCUAAACCUAAUACACGACCAACGUGGAAUUCGUUGGUCCCCUCCAAUAGCCGCAAUUUCAAAAACACAUCCAAGCUCAGAACCGAUCCCUCUCUCUCUCUCUAUUGAAUCCGCAGUAGCGAUAAUGGUAAAUCAGAGUUACAUUCGUGGGAAUACAAUCGAGUAUCUUCGAGUCCCCCCGAUGAUGCAUUACUACCCAUGCUUCUUCUUCUUGUUUUUUUUUUUUUUUAAUUUUUCAAAUUGAUUUUCCUUAUUAGUUCUUCGGGUCCAUUUGCUGCCUCUGGAAUGAUGCUUCUUUAGCCAAAUCAGACUAUUUUUUAUGUGCUCCGUGAGGCAUCCUCUUUCAAAGCUUUUCUCUUAGUAACCGGUGAUGUAGCUUUGGUUGGAUGCCUUUCGUCGAAGCGCAUCCUCUGAUGAUACCCUUGAGAUUGGUUGCCUUGCUGACCCAGAGUUUGCCCUUAUUCAGCAAGUGGGAAUUGUUUGAUUUAUCAAGCAAAUUUAUAUUUCUGCAGCUCUUGUUGUAUGAAUGGAUCCCCUUGCUCUCCAGGGAGCUGCCCAACUGUGUGCUUAUAAUGAAUUUUUUAAGUAGUUCAUAUUCUUUGCGUUUCUGCUUCUCUUCUCAUACCUGGCUCUCAAUGAUGAAAUGGUGGCAUAGGAUUUUUCAAUUAGUUGUUUUUUGAACCAACAAGAAUGCAUUUUCUUUAAUCUGCACUAAGCGAGCUUAUCUUUAUAAAAGCAGAACUCCUACGCUGUUGCAGUUAUGAUUGCUGGGUUUCCCUUUCAGGUGAUUGGCAAAGUUAAAGAAGAGGCCAAGAGCCAUGCAUUAAGCCAUAUGCAUGUCCUUCUCUCGGCAAUCCUUCUGUUGGUAUCUCUAGUUAAACUUGCUCGGAUAGAAAGCCGCCUGGGGUGGGCUGCGUAAGGGGCAGAGUUAGAGAAGAAGGUGCUGUUGGUGGAAAAGCUAAAGGCAAUGAGCCUGGUGGAGAUGAGGGGAGGGCUAAAGGCAGGGCUAGGGGAAGGUCAGCUGGUAAACCCGGUGGAAACAAAGUGCCCUUUUGUGAAACAGGUGGGUGGACAAGGUCGUUUGAUACUAUGUUCAACAGUUCAGUAAUUGGAUUGGAAACAAUUUGGCACAAACUUUGAAGCAUUAUGUUUCGUUUACAAACAAGAUCAAGUGGGAUAUCUGUCUUGCUACGUUGCAAUUAGGAUGAUUGCAUGGAAGGGAGAUUGCUAAUGAGGAACAGAUUCAGUGUCUUAUUCUCUUGAUGUAAAACUUUUUGAAACAGAAACUAAAUUACUAGUUUUCGUUCUUUGAUGUCUUCAGUGGU